ACACAGAGGGACAAAUAACAAUCCCAGACAUAUGAGUUCAGAGAGGGAUAUUUCAGGGAGACAGACUCUCACCACUUUUAUUCUGUUUAAUCAUAGACCAGCUCAGCAACAUCCUGAAGGAGCAUGACAUCCAGUAUGACUUAAGUAGAAACAGAGGAAGGAAAAACCAAAAACCUGUGAACCAUCUGCUGUUCAUGGAUGAUUUGAAAAUCUUAGACUCAGAUAAAU